UGACCCCCGACCCCCGACCCCCGACCCCUGGUCCCGACUUCACUGCGGCGGCCCCGGACACUGGCCACGUGCCUGACGCCUGCCGCCAUGGCCGCCAUGGCCGCCUUCCUUCGCGCCUGCCCGUGACCUCGGGGUGACCUCGGAGUGACCUCGGAGUGACCUCGGGGCUACCUCGGCCGCGCAGGCGCAGAGAGGUGACCCCGCCGCCACCGCCGCCGCCACCGCCGCCGCCCUCCCGGAGCCCAGAGUUGCUUCUUUAACUCAGAUCCAGAUGUGGCGAGCCUCAGCUGGCAAGCUUUCAGCCUGGCUCCAGCCCUCUCUGAGCAAAGUUAUUUACUUCUGGGAAUCUCCUCUUCACUUCUUUUCUGUCCAGGAGCCACACAUGUCAGCUCUCACCUGUGGCUUGCCUGUGGGGAUGCAGGCGUGGACCAUCCAGCGUGGCAAACACAGCUGCUCCUCGUCAGUGUUUCCGCUGUCACCGAAGAAGCAAAGGAAUGUGAAGCUGGAGAAUGUCACUGCUUCUGAGGGUUUGACAGCGGUGCAACCUGCACUGGUGAGGCCCACAAUAGUGAGGCCCUGGUGAUGACAAUAAAUAAGUGAAAGAUGCCAAAAGCAGAAGUGGAAACGCCGGAGACGUGAGGCUGCCCCGGCGCCUUGGAAUCUAUACUUCCUAACUGUACCAUAGACUAACCAUCAACUGCAGACUAAAUAAAUCCCACGUGCUACGCCAA